AGGGCCUUGGGAAAUUCCUCGCACGAAUUGGCAGAGAUGCCCGCGGGGCGACCCGCGAUCCCGCACUGCCGCCGCGCAUUCGGCGAAGAAGGCGCGUUUACGCGUCCGAGCCGCGCGAGCGGGAGGCGAGAACCGUGACAGCAAAGUUAUGCGACGAAGCUCUUCGGAGCCAACAGAACGAGGAUUAC
rnacentral:RNase_MRP_RNA from 1 species